rnacentral:rRNA from 1 species
GAUCCUGGCUCAGAUUGAACGCUGGCGGCAGGCCUAACACAUGCAAGUCGAACGGUAACAGGAAGCAGCUUGCUGCUUUGCUGACGAGUGGCGGACGGGUGAGUAAUGUCUGGGAAACUGCCCGAUGGAGGGGGAUAACUACUGGAAACGGUAGCUAAUACCGCAUAACGUCGCAAGACCAAAGAGGGGGACCUUAGGGCCUCUUGCCAUCGGAUGUGCCCAGAUGGGAUUAGCUAGUAGGUGGGG